GAGGCUAUUUUUGUUAGUGCUUUGUCAAAAGGUGUAUUUAAGUAAGGAUGAAUCACCUGACUUGUGCUCUUUGAAAUAAGAUGGAAUCAAGAAAUGACAGAGACACUUCAGAAUAUGUAACAACUCCGGGCAUUCGGUUUGUAAUCUUGUCGCUGCAGCAGUAUCGACCAAGUUCUCAUGCGCAGACGUCCACAUCUUCCUCUCUUGUUGUAAGCUGUAAAAUACAUAUUAAUGAUGUAGCUGCUCUUUUGAUUGUUCCUUUAGCUAGAUGUUAUAGUUCUGUUUAUGAUCUAGCUGCAUCUUCUUCUCCAUGUGAGCUAGAUGAUGCUUAUUAGCACUUGCUAUGGAUGCUCUUCUUGAACGUG
rnacentral:misc_RNA from 1 species